GGAAGCAGCUUGCUGCUUCGCUGACGAGUGGCGGACGGGUGAGUAAUGUCUGGGAAACUGCCUGAUGGAGGGGGAUAACUACUGGAAACGGUAGCUAAUACCGCAGAACGUCGCAAGACCAAAGAGGGGGACCUUCGGGCCUCUUGCCAUCAGAUGUGCCCAGAUGGGAUUAGCUUGUUGGUGGGGUAACGGCUCACCAAGGCGACGAUCCCUAGCUGGUCUGAGAGGAUGACCAGCCACACUGGAACUGAGACACGGUCCAGACUCCUACGGGAGGCAGCAGUGGGGAAUAUUGCACAAUGGGCGCAAGCCUGAUGCAGCCAUGCCGCGUGUAUGAAGAAGGCCUUCGGGUUGUAAAGUACUUUCAGCGGGGAGGAAGGUGUUGUGGUUAAUAACCGC
rnacentral:rRNA from 1 species